rnacentral:rRNA from 1 species
UGCUAGACGAGUUUGAUCCGUGGCUACAGGACGAACGCUGGCGGCGUGCCUAACACAUGCAAGUCAACGGGGUAUAAGAUUUCGGUUUUGUACCUAGUGGCGAACGGGUGAGUAACGCGUGAACAACCUGCCCUUUCUGAGGGGGAUAACACCUGGAAACAAGUGCUAAUACCGCAUAAGACCACAGGGUCGCAUGGCCCAGGGGUCAAAGGAGCAAUCCGCAGAAAGAGGGGUUCGCGUCCCAUUAGGUAGUAGGCGGGAUAACAGCCCACCUAGCCAACGAUGGGUAGCCGAGCUGAGAGGCUGAUCGGCCACACUGGAACUGAGACACGGUCCAGACUCCUACGGGAGGCAGCAGUGGGGAAUAUUGGGCAAUGGGCGCAAGCCUGACCCAGCAACGCCGCGUGAGGGAAGAAGGCCUUCGGGUUGUAAACCUCUGUCCUUGGUGACGAAGAAAGUGACGGUAGCCAAGGAGGAAGCCCCGGCUAACUACGUG